CCCCCCCCCCCGCGCGAGCCUGGUGCUGACGUCUAUCAAGGGUGAAAUGAUGGAAACUAUAUUCAUGGGCAUGAUUUCCAUUAAAUAUCAAUUAACCUGGGAGCCUCAGCCAGGCGUGCAGUGCGUCAAGGGUAAAUGUACAUCUCAUUUCCACCAGGCCUGCUCGCCUGGAAAAGGCGGCCUGGAAAAGCUCGCUCUGGUGAUGCCAGGAUUGGGGUUUGGGGGUCACCCUCGCGGCCUUCCACCAACCCCCUGCGAGGGCCCGACCCCAGCGCGCGGCGCUCCCGUGGGUCUACGCCGCCCGCCCUUGCUCCCCGGGGCUGCAGCGCCCGCGUGUCCAGAAGCGCAAAAGCCACGGCCGGCCUCCGGGGGGCUGCUCCAGGGGCCAGCGGAGGGAGUCCUGUGCUCCCGCAGCCUCCUGGGAGUGGCCUCCCUGCCUCCCCCCAAGUAGACAGCCGAUUUUUACGACCCAGCAAGAGGCCGAGCUGGUACAAUAUCCUGACUGUAAAUCGUCCAGUGGUAAUAUUGGCGAGGACCCAGACCACUUAAAUCAGAGCUCGUCUCCUUCUCAAAUGUUUCCCUGGAUGAGACCACAAGCAGCUCCUGGUAGACGAAGAGGAAGACAAACCUACAGUCGUUUCCAAACCCUAGAGCUGGAAAAAGAAUUCCUUUUUAACCCUUAUCUGACCAGGAAGAGAAGAAUCGAGGUUUCCCACGCCCUAGCCCUCACGGAGAGACAGGUAAAAAUCUGGUUCCAGAACAGGAGAAUGAAAUGGAAAAAAGAGAACAACAAGGACAAAUUCCCAGUUUCCCGACAGGAGGCGAAGGAUGGAGAAACCAAGAAGGAAGCCCAAGAGCUGGAGGAAGACAGAGCUGAAGGCCUGACAAAUUAACUUCUACCUUUAAAAUUUUACCACAGACUAUUAAAACUAAUGAUCAACACAUGCUGUUGGACACCAUCUAUUUUCUUUGUUGGAAAGGACUUUACCUGUAUUUCAAGCUACCUUCAUGUCACUGCUCUUGAGGUUUCUGCGCUUUGAGAGGGGUUUGGGUGUUAAAAAAAAAGUUUCUAGUAUCACACAGAAGCAGCCCUUGAGCUGUCCUAUGUAAGGGUAAUUUGAUACUGACCUUGUUGCUAUAUUUUUAUAAUGGUAGUUUUUAAUGUCUGAGCUGGUGAUUUGCCUCAACAACGUAAACUUCCUAAUGAUUAGCACUAAAUAAUUGAAUAUGAAAUGCUUUAUUAAUCAAAUAAGUGCACUUGAACACUUAAAAUCAUUUCUUUAUGGUGAGUAAAUUAAAAGAGAUCUAUUAAUUUUUUAAAAAAAUAUGCCUGCAGAAUAUUUACUUUAUGUUAUUUGAUUAAAACAUAUUAUUUAUGUUCUGUUUUUCUGCUUUUAUAAUGAAUGGUUCGGGUGCCUUUUGUUUACUCCUAAAAGGUUUGAGUGUUUUGUAAAUGUAAUAUCUCGGGGAAAAGUCUGGGCCAAAUAUUCAUAAAGCACAUGUUAGCUGAAGAGUGUAAUGUGUAGUCCUGCUCUGCAGCUUCCUUAAGCUUGGGGGAAAAUGUUGGGCCAAUGACAGAAGUUUCAGGAAAAUGUCACAGUUGACAUUUAAUAAUUUUCUGUAGUCUAUACAAAUUAUAGCAAUUUAACCAUCUAAAGUGAAUGAAUACUUGAAAAGCCGAUUAUAACAUUUUCACUCAUUAACUUUUCACUCUGGCGAGUCGCCUUGUGAAAUGCCUCUUAUUUCUCAACUUGCUUUCGUUUUGAACUGCGCUUGGUAUCGCCUGAAAUCGCUAGGUCUCUAUGCUGUGGCCGCUGCUGUGAUUCCGUUUUUUGAAUAGGUGCCAUAUUUAUUUGUAUUCCCUUCGCUCUGUUUGCACGCCCAUUUUGAGCCAACUUGUGUGCGUCUCAGAUGUCGGUUGGUACGUCCUCUGCUGUUCUCCAGGAUGGCCUCACCUAUUGAAACAAGCCCUGAGAGCAAAUGCAGAAAAAUCCGAGUGUAAACAACCGCUCCAGAAUAUAGCUAGCUCCUCAAUAAAGAAAUGAAUCUUUUUCUAGAGCUAGUGUCU
rnacentral:lncRNA from 12 species